UAUUCAACAAUUUCUGACAUUUUACUUUAAUCCCCAUUCACCAACGGUAGUGUGUUAGUGCGAGCCUGCAUGUGUAAUCUGGUCGGCAAUUCGGAGGACGGGUUUUGUCCAGAUUUUAAUUUCAUUUAGAUUCUAAAUGACAUUAUAUUAUCUUGAACGCGAAGGCCCACUAUUUUCGUUAGACUCUAAUCUUUCUUUUGAAACUAUGUCAGUUCUAUAAAAUAUCGAAAAUAUACGUUACCGAUUAGUUAUUCCCCGGGUUAUUCCUUAUUUUUUUAAUUUUCUGCCGGAGAGGAAAAAAUGGCAGCCGUCAACGAGUUGUGCUUUUAUCAAGGCUUUCCGAUUAAAUUUUCGAUAUCCUGGCCAAUCAAUGCGAGCGACAAGUUCCGAACGCACGCACAUCUACAAGCGCAAAGCAGCGGCACAAAUCGCGAUAUAUAGCGACUGGUAAAUACGUCUGUAAGGAUGAUGACGUCAUCAAAAAUGGCAACUUACGUUGACCAACGAAAGGAUCGAAGAUGACGAUGUUUCGAUCAUCAUUUGAAAGGAAUUAGCGGUAACUGCGGUCUAAGGUACGAUAUUUCUUAAUUUUAAACAUUUUUCGUUAAUAUGGAUGUGAUUUCUUUUUCAUAAUGUGACAUUUUAACAUUUUAUGUACAACAAAACGAUCGGAAAAUCGGUUUUCCGCCGAAUGUUAGAUCUAACGUUACUGCUAAUAGUCUGUACGUACGGGCCUCCAAGCUCUUCAGUCUAUGUAUUGGUGAGUGAGCCAACGCAGUUCAGCGGAACAACCAAAAUACAGAGACUGAAGCUUUUGGUCUAGUUGUUGUAUUGUUAUAUAUUUUUCAAAAUUCACUUAUUCAGAUCCAACUUGAGAAAUGUUGGAACUAGAUCUAGCCUCGACAUGCUCGAGGACUCUGUCUCUGAUGAUAUUUUUAUAAUUUUGAGUUGACAGUGUCUUUUCAUCAUGGAGCCGGAGCCCUAGUUACGCAACGCACGCGUCUGUAACGUUGGCGAAGAACUAUAGGAAACAAGAUGGCGGCGUAAACAUCGGUAAAUUUUCGAAUGGAUGAAAACAUCUUACAACAUGUGCAGGCUGUCCUGAAAGAAUAAGGAGGAUUGUUAGAGAGGAAUAAGCCAACCAGAACUGCAAUUAGGAGUCAUUGACAGGAGGAACCUUUGUGACUUGUACGAGGAUGCAUGAAGCUUUCAAGCACACUAUUGCUUUUUAAAAGAGACCACACGCUACCUCAUCAACAUGCUUGAAGAUGAUCUGAGCCUGAGGAGGGACAAAAGGCCUAGUGAUCGUCUGAUCGACUACCUUUGUAUCUGCAAGUAUUGACAAUUCUGCGUUUGUAUACUGAUAAUUUCAGGGAAUACAUGGUGAUGAGACAUCAGUGUUGCAAUCAUCUGUUGAGUGAUCAAAGAUGUUUCGCAAGCCAUAUCAAGAAUAAAGGUUUUGUGAGAACUUCAACAACCAGAGAUGAGAUUGAGGCUACCCAACAACAACUGUAUAAGUACCAGUACUACAGGAAUUCAAUAGUCAUAGGUGUGAUCGAUGGGACCCAUGUCUAUUAUAAGAUAAUAAGAAUUCCUGGAGGGACACAAGCUUUGUACUUUCUUGAAGGGCAAGUCCACCCCAACAAAGAGUUUCUUUGAUAUAAUAGAGAAAAGUCCAAUUACUAGUAGCAUAACACUGAAAAUUUCAUUAAAAUUUGAUGUAAAAUUUGAAAGUUCUGACAUUUUGAAGUUUUGCUUAUUUUCACAAAACAGAUAUGUGCACAUCCUGGUCAUUAUGCAAAUGAGAGAUCAAAUUACGUUCUCCAUUCACCGUUUCUUUUUUAAAUAUAUCAUUAAAUAUGAUUUUUUUUCCCCUCAUAAUGUGUAAAACAGGUGUAUGCUUUGAUUUCUCCCUGAAGCCAUUGUGGCAACCUAAACUCAAUUCAAUGAAGAGUUUUCUUAUAAUUGUGAAUUCUGUAAAAAUUCAAGUAUUAUGAUAUAUUUCAUAUAUUGAUAUUCAAAAGAAAGAGUGUGUGACAUCAUAGACUUAAUUGCAUAUCACCUGUUUUGUGCAUAUAAGUGAUUUGUGUGAAUCUUUGAUAUGUCAUUACUUAUUUUACAUCCUAUUUUGAUGUUGUCAGUGUCAUGCAUGUUUUAUUUUUCUCUAUCCAUUCAAAUAAACUUUUUGUUGUACAGUGGACUUGCUCUAGAACAGGUACUUUUGUAAUGUACAUGUAAGAAUUUCAUUAUUUAUUUGUGUCUUUUCUUUUAACGCUUUUUUACUGGGGGUUGAUUCAACCUACCUUUGAGAUCUUGGCCAAUGAUCACGUAAACGCCUUGAAAAUUGGUAUGAUAAUAGUGGGGGAUGUAAUGUGCAAUGAAAUAUGGUUGAUUUUUUCAAAAUCGUCAGAUCUUUUAUAUGAAUUAUGCUAAUUUAUGCGUAAAUUAUACUUUUAUACCAUUGCUAACAAUCAAAAAUGAAAAAAAAAAUCCUAGUUUGAAAAUGAAUUUCUUAUGAAAUUUAUUGUUUUAUGAUUUUCUUAUCUUUGUUUUUCAACCUUUUGGUUUUCUUUAUUAAGAAGAUGAGAAAGCUCAACAUUGACCUUGUACACAAAAUCACGUUUUGGAGCAAUUUUGGGUCUGACAUGCACUUAUGUAAUGUUGAGUAAUUUUCCAACCGCAUACCAGGCAUCGUAAAAUUGGUCUCAAAAGAUGUGCAAGACUUCAAAAUAAAAUGUUGGCGAGCGGCACGGUCGUAUAAUUUCGCACAGUGGACUGAAUGGUCGUGGAAAAUGUUGAGGAUGGGGGGUUGAUUCAACCCCCCCCCCCGGCGGUUUUAGGGUUAAAAUAUCACAUUACUGAGAAUUUCACAUGAAUACAAAGGAAAAUCAUCUAAUCUUUUUCUUUUUUAAGUAUUUGAAAUUAACUUUUAUCAGAUUUAGUUUCUUUCACAGACUACAUGUAUCUUCAAUGAUUUUUAAAUUUAAACAGUUUGUUUAAAAAAAACACUAUUUAAUCACGAAGCAUCAAAUGUAAAUUCCUCAUUUACUUUUUCAUGUGAAAUAUUCUCACAUAUUUUAAAUUGUAUUUUUCAAAUGAUUAGAACUUUGAUAGCUCCCAGAAAGUUUAUUGCAUGCCCCAAAAUAUGCAUAUGUGUCCAUGAGGAUGAAGAGGUCAAGGGUCAUCAAUUUAAAUUGCUCUCAUUUCUUUGUUUUUGCAUUAGUUGUGUUUACACUUGGUACAUUAUAACCAUUGAGUAUUAAAUACCACACGUAUGUCCAAGAGGAUGAUAAGGUCAAAAGAUCAUAUUGCAUAGUUUAUUGAUCGUGAUAUCAGGCGAGACACGUAAAAUAAAUUUAUGUGAUCGAGAGCUAUCAGAUGAUGAAAUCAAUAUUUUGAAAAAGGGCGCUAAAUUUACGCCAGUUCCAAAGAGAAAUAAUAAUGAAUUAAAAAGAGAUGUCAAUGAUUUUUGUAGCAAAUUAAGAUUGAAAGAAUACUUUGCAGAUAAAAAUAUAAAGGAUGACAGUAUCGUUAAAGGAAAAAGUAAUUUCCAACCAGAACGAAAUAGAAAUCAAACUCUCGAGAAAUAUAUUGAUUUUCUAAAAACAUUUAGUGACAAUUAUAAAUCUGAAAAUAACGGCUAUCAACGUAAAAUUAACUUGUCUACAAAAGAAUCUGAUGCCCUCCAAAAAUUGGUAGAAGAUGAUGAUAUCAUCAUCAAACAAGCAGAUAAGGGAGGCGCUUUUGUCUUGAUGAAAAGGGAUUUUUAUAUUUCGAAAAUGAAUGACCAUUUGGAUAAAAAAGAAACAUACCAGAAACUAUCCCAAAAUGAGGAUACUGGAACCAUGAAAAAUACAAGACUCGGUUAAAAAACAUGAAAAUAUUUUCAUUAAAAAAAGAAAAGGCGUACAUCAUAAACUUUGAGUACAAAACAAGUUAUUUUUAUGGUUUACCAAAAAUACACCAAAGUAAACGUAUUAAAGAAAAUAUUUUGGAGCAGAAAAGCUCUUACGUUCAAUGUGGUACUGAUGUAGACUUAAAAAUGAGACCAAAAGUUGCUGGACCAGUAUGCCCAACUCAUCGUCUUAGUAAUUUGAUCGAUGUUGUGCUAAAACCUUACUUAAAACAUGUGAAAAGUUAUAUUAGAGAAAGUGUUGAUUUUUUUAAC